rnacentral:rRNA from 2 species
GUUCCCAUUCCGAACACAGAAGUUAAGCUCUCUAGCGCUGAUGGUACUUGGUGGGAAACUGCCUGGGAGAGUAGGACGUAGCCACGUA